CUGGAAAGUUAUAUGUGGUAUUCCAUCUUAAAGUUAUCCGCUGAUCUGGUGACGAUGAUGUUAAAGAUUGAAGGCUGUGAUUAGCAAAUCGCAGACGACUUGCAAGUUGUGUCCUUCGGUUACAAAAGAAAAGGCAAAAUGCAAUACCAAAUGAAAUUAUACAUCUGUGUGUUCUCAGGGUAUACAAUUACAAAGCAAAAAGGAAACGAUGACCCAAAACUAUUUCUGCAAUGGAUCUGAUUCUGGAUUCACAAUUCCUGCUGAUUCUUAUGUUCGGAAGCCAAAAAUUACAAGCAAACCCUGCAACAUAUAUAUAUAUAUAUGUUCGUUCCAAAGGCACCCUUUCUCUUUUGCUCAAGUGGUCAUUUCCCCUCAAUGCUUCCAACAGAAACAACUCCGUUAUUCAUGAAUCCUCAUCAGUCAACAGUAGAAUUAUUGUCAGCAUCCAAGGACUCGCUCAACCGUUUCACAGGCAGAUUUUUCACCAGCAAUUUCUUAAGAGUGCUACCAUAAAGGAGCUGCUGGAUGAUACAGCACGAUCCAAACUAAACACCUGCUGUAGCUUUAACUUCAUGAUCUGUUGUUCCCUCAGAUCGAAGAUCAGCUCGGACCUUCCGUGUAGGAGUCCUCAUUGUGACAAGCUCCUCCGCUGCUGUUGGGUGAAUACCCACUGUAGCAUCAAAGUCUGCCUUUUUCAAGCCAGCUUUGACAGCAACAGCAAACCCCUGCACAAUUUCUGGUGCAUCUUCUCCACACAUGUGCAACCCCAGAACUUUGUCCGUCUUUGCACAGACUAUUAAUUUCAUGAAAACCCGAUCUGGAAGCCCUGAAAGAGUGGCCUUCAAAGGCCUGAAGUCUGCUGUGAAAAUAUCGAUGUCACCAUAUGCUUUUAUAGCCUGCUCUUCAGUGAGACCAACUUGUCCAAUUGGUGGCUGGGAAAACACAGCAGAUGGAAUUGCUCUAUAAUCAGGUUUUGUUGGCUCAUUCAGAAACAGAGAUUUUGCCAAUGCCCCUCCUUCCAUCAAAGCAACUGGAGUCAAAUUCACCCUAUCUGUAACAUCUCCAACUGCCCAAAUGGAGGGAACUGAUGUGCGCGAGUAUUCGUCAACCUCUAUUGCUCCAUUCUUGUCCAUUUUUACCCCCACUGUCUCCAAUCCCAAGUUCUGCAAUGCAAAACUAGCAAAGAAUUACAAGAAAGCAAGAAACAUGAUGCCAAAGAUGAAAACAAUGGUAACAAUGGUCCAAUUUCAUUCUCUUUAAUUUUCAGUGCGAACAGGUAUACAAAGAUUCAAACCCACUGCCUUUAUGUCACAAUCAUUAAUUAAUAUCCCAAGAUAUCUAAGUGUGGCCAGAGGAAGCCAAAGAAUUAAGGGGAAAAAAAAAGUUUGAACCGUCGUGUUAGGCCUACGCCCUGUUGCAAACAUAAUAUGUGAGAAGCCUUCGACUGUUCCUUUGUUGGUCUUCAGUGACAGGGAACCAUCUGCUGCUUUAAUAAUAGCCUGGGGUGGCUCCUCUGUGUGGAACUCAAUUCCUCUUAGAGACAUUUGCUCUGCAACAAAAUCUCUGAUCUCUUCAUCAAAGCCCCUUAAUACUUUUUUUUGCCGUAUAAAUACAUGGACCUCACUUUUCAAACCAUUGAAUAUACCAGCAAACUCUAAGGCAAUGUAGCCUCCACCGACUAUUGCAAUUUUCUCAGGCUUUGAGGGCAAAUCAAGUGCUGCAUCUGAAUCUAUCGCAUAUUCACUUCCAGGAAUUUCAGGAAUGAAGGGCCGCCCCCCAACUGAAAUCAGGAUGUGUCUUGCUGAAUAGAUUUUUCCAUCAACAUCAACUGUAUGUGGGUCCACAAUCUUUCCACGCCCCUCAAUUAAUGUGACAUUAGCAUUCUUUAGAAUAUUCUUGUAGAUACCAGUAAGGCGUUGCAACUCAGCAUUUUUAUUAGCCAUCAAAGUGCUCCAGUCAUGCUUCGGUUCAAUCUCAUAUUUCCAUCCAAAACCAUUGCUCUCUUCAAAUUCAUGAGAAUAUUUUGAAGAGUAAACAAGCAGUUUCUUUGGUACACACCCACGAAGGACACACGUGCCACCAACGCCUCCAGUGGUCUCGGAAGAGAUGGUGGAGAACGGUAGCUCACAAAUAGCAACGGAAGCACCGAAAUUGGCAGCAAAGCGGGAGGCACGGACACCUCCGCUUCCAGCGCCGAUGGUGAAGAGGUCGAAAUCGUAGCGGCGAGCCGGUUCGGCGCCAUUAUCGGAGUCAGAGCGAACAGUGAAAAGGCGGCGAUGAAGAUGGGAGGGAGAGAGAGAAAGGCGGCGAGGAGGGAUAGAGGAUAGGGUUUUGGGAAGAAAGAGAAAGGAGGAAUAGAAAGGGAUUGCGAUUGGGAAGUUCCGGUAGAGGGAUUGGAGAGUAGGAGAGGAAAGCUUAGGAGUAGUAAGAGAAGUAGCUGCAGCCAUUUUUGGGCGGGGAAGGAAGGUAUGCGUAGUUCUUUUGCACUUCUUUUA
rnacentral:misc_RNA from 1 species